GAUGAACGCUGGCGGCGUGCCUAAUACAUGCAAGUCGAGCGAACAGACGAGGAGCUUGCUCCUCUGACGUUAGCGGCGGACGGGUGAGUAACACGUGGAUAACCUACCUAUAAGACUGGGAUAACUUCGGGAAACCGGAGCUAAUACCGGAUAAUAUAUUGAACCGCAUGGUUCAAUAGUGAAAGACGGUUUUGCUGUCACUUAUAGAUGGAUCCGCGCCGCAUUAGCUAGUUGGUAAGGUAACGGCCUACCAAGGCAACGAUGCGUAGCCGACCUGAGAGGCUGAUCGGCCAUACUGGAACUUAGACACGGUCCAGACUCUUACGGGAGGCAACAGGAGGGAUUCUUCCGCAAUGGGCGAAAGCCUGACGGAGCAACGCCGCGUGAGUUAUGAAGGUCUUCGGAUCGUAAAACUCUGUUAGUAGGGAAGAACAAAUGUGUAAGUAAAUAUUCACGUCUUGACGGUACCUAAUCAGAAAGCCACGGCUAACUACGUG
rnacentral:rRNA from 1 species